AGCGAACGCUGGCGGCAGGCUUAACACAUGCAAGUCGAACGGGCGUAGCAAUACGUCAGUGGCAGACGGGUGAGUAACGCGUGGGAACGUACCUUUUGGUUCGGAACAACCCAGGGAAACUUGGGCUAAUACCGGAUAAGCCCUUACGGGGAAAGAUUUAUCGCCGAAAGAUCGGCCCGCGUCUGAUUAGCUAGUUGGUGUGGUAACGGCGCACCAAGGCGACGAUCAGUAGCUGGUCUGAGAGGAUGAUCAGCCACAUUGGGACUGAGACACGGCCCAAACUCCUACGGGAGGCAGCAGUGGGGAAUAUUGGACAAUGGGCGCAAGCCUGAUCCAGCCAUGCCGCGUGAGUGAUGAAGGCCCUAGGGUUGUAAAGCUCUUUUGUGCGGGAAGAUAAUGACGGUACCGCAAGAAUAAGCCCCGGCUAACUUCGUGCCAGCCGCCGCCGUAAG
rnacentral:rRNA from 1 species